UACGUAGGGUGCAAGCGUUUAAUCGGAAUACUGGGCGUAAAGCGUGCGCAGGCGGUUUUGUAAGUCUGACGUGAAAUCCCCGGGCUCAACCUGGGAAUUGCGUUGGAGACUGCAAGGCUAGAGUUUGGCAGAGGGGGGUAGAAUUCCACGUGCAGCAGUGAAAUGCGUAGAGAUGUGGAGGAACACCGAUGGCGAAGGCAGCCCCCUGGGUCAAGAUUGACGCUCAUGCACGAAAGCGUGGGGAGCAAACAGG
rnacentral:rRNA from 1 species